rfam:Clostridium pasteurianum DSM 525 = ATCC 6013, complete genome.
UUGUGCUAGAUGGGGAGUUAGCGGUGCCUUGUAACCUGCAAUCCGCUAUAGCAGGGUUGAAGUCCUUGCUGAGGUCUUAAUUUGUGAGGUCUGCCUUAUAUAAGUGGUGUUGAGAGCUUGGUCCCACGCAACGAAAAUUCACGAACUCCGUCAGGUCCGGAAGGAAGCAGCGGUAAGUGGACACUUUCGUGUGCCGUGGAACAACCUGGUUUGAGCUAACUGUAUAAGUAACGCUUAUGAAUUAGGAUCGACGCAAGGUGCACAA